rnacentral:rRNA from 1 species
UGCGUAGGCGGGCUAAUAAGUCAGUGGUGAAAUCUCUCGGCUCAACCGGGAAACUGUCAUUGAUACUGUUAGUCUUGAGUUCGGUUGAGGUAGGCGGAAUGUGUAAUGUAGCGGUGAAGUGCUUAGAUAUUACACAGAACACCAAUUGCGUAGGCAGCUUACUAGACCGACACUGACGCUGAGGCACGAAAGCGUGGGGAGCGAACAGGAUUAGAUACCCUGGUAGUCC